GAACUCUUUAUAGGGGCCGCAUACACACCCUAAAUGUCGCCGCACACGGGCCACACGCGACAGGCACAAACGCCGCCACAAGAAGCAAGAAAAGGC